rnacentral:lncRNA from 10 species
GAGCCGCCGCGGGCUCCGAGGAGUCGGCCGAGCUGCUCCCGCGCCCUGGCCGGCUGGGUCUUCAUCCUCAUUGUACUCCCUUGGCAUCUCAUGGUGACGUGACUUAGAAGGUGGUGCAGAGACGUUUGAAACUAUUGCUUUGCUGAAAACAUCUGACUGCCAGGCUAGGAUGUGACACUUAAGGGACCAGGGAUCAUUUACAUACUGUGGUCUUGCAUUACUGCGAUGAAAUCUUCCACCACUCCCACCACCCACUACAAGAGAUGGAAUUAAUUGAAACUACAGCCUUCAAGAGACAUUUGGAGCAAUACUCUUCCAGUUCUUUCUUCCACAUUUUAUUUGUGGGUACAGCGUCUCCCAGGAUGUAGUGUGCUGUAAUUAUUCUUCCACCCUUUUAUUUUCUGGGAGUUUCUCUAUCUGAAUAGCACAGAAAUAUUAGUGGAUAGGAAGGGAAUAUAAUAUUCUAUCCAUCUGAAAAUUAACACCCAUGUUGAACAGAAUCCCUUUUCAGUUUCCUGUUUACUACAGGGUCCAAAUCUCUGAGCUGAGCUGUGCAGCAGAUAAUAGGAGAAGAAAAAAAGAUACCUGCUCCUCUUUCAAGGACGUGGACUUUUCUGUUUUGUGAAGUGAUACUUGGAUAGGCUACUGGAUAUUUUCUCAUUCUUGACUCAUCAACCUUAUAAUUGGUCUAAGUUUUUCCCAAAUUUGUAGCUCUGGAUUUCCUGUCACUCCUAGUUUUCUGUGUUAAAGUUUUCCAUUUUGAUAUGUAUGAUAUUGACAACUGGGAGAGGCAGUGCCCAGGGGAUGGUAGCCAGAUGCCAUUUUGUACCAGAAGUCUUUUAUUAUCUACAUUUAAUGGUUAUAAAUAAUGAAUGCCUUUGUUGGGAGUACUUUCAUUUACUCAUUCCAACAAACUCUUAGACCAAUUUUCCUUGAGAUCAAUUAAAUUCAAUCCCUCCUGUAUGCCAGACUUUAAAAAAAUGCCCAAUACUAAGUAGAAUAAAAAAUGUCUUUUGCUUCAGAGUAGUAUGAUUAGGACUAUAACAGAGUUGGGUUGAAAGGUCUAUAGUACACCAGAGUCAAGACUACGUUUGUCCUUGGGAAAUUGGAAAGGCUACUGGAGAAUAUGAAACUUCAGUGAAUCUUGGGGUAUCACUGGAUAUUUAGAAGCUGGGUUGAGGGGCCAGGGGAUCCUUGGCAGAAAGAAAAGCAUAGUGACAUGAGAGUGCAUCAUGAGAUCAGGAAGUCAUGAUAGGUUGUAGGCAAUUAAGCUGAAGAGGUUUAUGAGGCCCUUAUUUGUGUGGAUAGUGGACAGGUGCUGGGAAUGAUGGAUGGCAGGAAGAUCUGAUACUAGAGCAGUUAAAAUUAUCUAGGCAAGUGAGAUGGGGAAAUGAAGUCAAACAGCAGCAGCAGGGAUGGAGGGAAAGUGACAAGUUUAUGAGUCUAAACUGGAGAGAGAGAGGAUGAGGGAAGAAGAAUGUAGAAUUUGAAGAUUGUUUGGUUCUUCUGGUCUUCCAAUUAUGUUCAAGUAUAUGUGAGAUGCAAUGGUCAAAGUAAUAGGUACAUAAUAAAUAAACCAUUUCUGUUUUCAGCAUCUGUAGAUCAAACUUUAGCUUGCCUUAGUUUAUCAUUCGUGUGUUUAGACUAUGAUCAAAUAAAUAUAUUCAUUUUCACACUCUAUUUUUAGUGGUACUAAUAUAUUUUUUGUGACGCA